rnacentral:lncRNA from 1 species
UUUGACUUGUAUGCUUGGUCAAAAAAGCUAAGCUUUGGGUUGAAUCAAAUUAAAGAACCCAAAGAGAAGAAAGAGAGUGGCUGCAAGAGAACCACGUUAUAGAAAACGAUACAGCGCCCGGACCACUUGGACCAAGUCCAUUCCCACAACCACCACCUUCCCCCCUCCGACUGACCUACUGUUUGCUCUCAUACGAUCAUUUUUUUUUCUCUUAUGUUUUGAAAAGGAAAAAAAAAAUUCUUAUGUAAUCUAGAUUCAAGAAUAAGGGAGAACACAAGGAAUUGCCUGCAAUACACUAAAUGAAUCAAGAAAAGAAGAAUUGGUGGAUAAUAUGUGACUAACGUAGAGCUCUAAAGAAAAGUGCUAAUGGUGAUCACUUAGAAGGAUCCCUGUAGAAUUACAGCAAAAGGAAUGGCUUAAAAGAGAGAUCAAGAAAGAUGGCCAACCUGAAACUCUGUGACGUCGGAGACACAAAGCUGACCAUUGUAAAAGAUGGUAAUCUGCUGCUGCUGCUGCUGCUGAUGCCGCUGCUGGUUUUGUUCCGAGUUUGCCGACGAUCCAUCAGUCCUUCAUAAUUCAAAAAACUUCAUUAGAAAUUAAUAGAAUCAUGGGGAGAAAAAAAAGCAAGAGAUUCAAAUAGAUGGUUGUCUUUGCAUUUCGAUCACAGUAUAUACCUGCUGGAUUCAGCAGAAGACCAAUCUUGGCUGCUGCUGCCAAGGCUGAGACGCAGCUCCGGAUCAAAACCUUUCCCGACCAUUUUUACAGUCUCCUUCUUCUCUCACGACUCGAAUCUUUCUUCGUAAUUCUUUCUUGCUACAAUUCAAUUCUGGACAUUAGAAGCAGGUCGACAGGAGGGAUGGAGAAAGAGGGAGCAAGGGACUCGGCUUUAUAUGAACCGGGGAGAGAGAGGAGGGAAAGGUGGUGGUGGGGUUCAAAACACGUGGAACUCGCGUUUCGCGUGCGGCGAAAUUCUU